UAGGAUUUAGUGGGCAAAUCACCCUUAUUUUGAAAAUAAGACCUAUAAUUUGAGCAA
rnacentral:tRNA from 1 species